GAAAGUUCUGUAGACAUGUAUUCACUCUUUACUUGUUUCAAAACUAACUAGUUUUCUUUUUUUAAAUAAAAACCGACAUUUUUAAGAAAGCUGGGAAUCUGUAACCUUUGAAAGAGAUGUGUGCACAAUUUCCAAGACAAAAUCCUGCCCCAACCAGGCAAUGAAUCUUCUGCCCGCUGAAUAAAACGAGAAAUGAAGGUAAGGAGCAGGUUGCCCUCUCAAGUGUCACCUUUGAGGACAGAAACACUGAAGGUAAAUACAUACAUUUGUUACAUUAUGAAAUUCAAUUUGCACGUACAUAAAAAAAAUAGUAAUACAGCAUGUUUUGGUCGAUGUGCCCCUCUUUAGAUCAAGAUUCUUUAAUAGAUUGUUCUUUGAGUCAUGAACUUCAGAAAAUUGAGCAGAACGUCCAGCUCCAAUUCCAUUUCCAGCAAGACAUCCAGCUCCAGCAGCCCGUCCAGCUUCAAUUCCAGCAGCCUGCCCUUGAUGAUCAGCAGGAUCAACAUCUGGCUCAAGACUUCAACAGUAUAUUGACCUUUAUAUGUAUUUUGUCAACAAUGUUCAUGCUAUGUUCCAACAUCAUAAUAUGUGUUAGCUAUCUACCGGUACUUAAUGUUUUAUAGAAGCCUUUUUUCCUAAAUCGAGUUGUGGAGACAUGUGAAAUAACCCUAAGGAAAGUUGUUCCUAAUACAUAUGGAAAUAUUCCUUUUUAUAUGUUCACUAAUGAUAACUCCAAUUACUUUACUUUUUGUAGGUGACAUUUUGGGCUGCUAUAAAAUUGUACAAAAGCUUGGUAAGGGAGGACACGGCACAGUCUUCAAAGCGAUUUGCUUGAUGGACGGUCUUGAGGAACUACAUUUUUACUCACUACAUCUUAGCUAAAUGUUUCUCUCACUGCCUGUUCAGGUCCUUUUAUUGUGUCACGUUACAUUGAAAACGUUUAAUAAAUGUGACUAAUUCACCAACAUUACAAUUGUUGUGUUUUGUUAAUCAGGUGGCAUUGAAGGUUGUUUUGAAGAGGAACAAUAUGGAUUAUCUCAGCAUUGUAGUUCUCUUGAUUUUAGUUCAAGAUAUGUUAAUUAUAGCCAAAAAAAGAAUUUUCAAACAUCACUGACAACAAAUUUCUAUCUUCUACAGCCUGGUCAUCCUACUCCCCUUUCAUUAGAAGUUGCACUAACAAUACUUGCUAACGAAGGAUUCCUCAGAUCAUCCAGAUGCUGGAGUGGCAGGAGCUGCCAGACUCUUACAUCAUGGUUUUGGAGCACCCCUCACCCUGCAAAGACCUUUUUGACUUCCUGGAGCACUAUGAAGGAACCCUCAGUGAAGACGUGGCACGGUACAUCAUGUGGCAGGUAGUGCAGGCUGCCCACAUGUGCUGUCAAAGAGGAAUCCUCCAUCGCGACAUUAAAUUAGACAACCUGCUAAUCAACAAGGACACCUAUGAAGUCAAGCUUAUUGACUUUGGGUGCGGUGACAUCCUAAAAACAUCAGCCUGAUUCUGUGGAAAAGAAAUGUACAGCCCUUCUGAGUAUCAAUCAACAGGCGGAUACUACAGCAAAUCUGCAACCAUUUGGUCACUGAAGAUCCUUUUAUUUGAACUGCUGUGCAGAAAGCCUCCAGAAAACAUUGACCUGGACAUGACCCAUGCAUGGCUGUAGUCAAAAUUUGGAUUGUCAAAUGAGUGCUGCAACCUGGUUCAGCCUUGCCUGCAGAGUAGCUGGAUGCCAAAUGCCAGACUGAUUCGUUUUUUUAUUUUUCAUUUUGACUACAUUUUAGUCUUAUAAUUUGUGCAAGGACCUUCAAAAAGUCUUUGGUCUAAAACUGCCAAACACUGAGCUGCCAUUCUCCAUAUUCCAAAAGGUUCUUGUGACCACAAAAAGUUCAGCACAUCACUUUCAAAGGUUCUCAGUUAGAUUAGCAUUUUGCUGACUGACAUGCCUUGCAAGUUUCCUGCCAAGUAACAAGACAUUUAUGCCAAUACCUAUGGUUCCUUUACCCAGCUGCCUCAGUUGCAAAUGUUUUGGACAAAGCUGUACUAAAGGGUCCUUCAGUUUCUGUCAUUAUUCAAAGGAGGGAUGUUACCUCAGGCCACAAAAUCCGGGGCCUUCUCUUCAUGAAACUCUAGCAAAGCAUUGUUUCACAACCACCAUUGUGUCUGUAAUGGCUUGCUGAGAAGAAGCUCCUGCCCUGUCCUCAUCCGAGAGAUCUGUCAAGACUUACAGAUCCUGACAAAAACCUCUUAGGAAAGCUCAUCUCCCAAUUCCUAACAUGCUGUAUAGAGGGAGCCUCUUGAGCAUGUUGAGCAGCUGAAUCAACUGAACUAUUUCAAAACACACACAAUUAUUUAAAGAAACUUUGUUUACAGAUUCUGAAGUAUUAUGUUUAUGCUUCUAUCUCUUCUUUUGAAUUGUUUGAUGCACUCUCUGUGGUGCACUGUUUGCACCAGGUUGCAUUAUGCACUUUACAUGGCCAGACCAUUUUAUUCCUCAAUCCUUGGUUCUGUGGGUUUUUGAUUUGUUUAUGUAUCUCUGCUUUGUGUAGUUGUGUGUGUGUUUUUAUGUGGCAUCUAGAUUAGCAUGGUCUCAUUUCACUGUGUACUGUUGAAAUGACAAUAAAAGCUCUUUGAAUUUGAACUUGCUCAUCUCACUAUCUAAGCCUUCUUGGUUUUAAAACUGUACAUGUUGCUAGGUUGUUUAAUAAACUAAGACAAAAACCAUAACCACAGUGAAAAGAGCUUAGGAUGAGCUGCAGUGGGUACCGACCUCAUGGAUCAGACCAACUGACCAGUCCUAAUAUCAACAGAUACGAAGAGAAGAGCUCAGCCAUACUACAUGACUGCAGAUGGAUUUCAAUAUUUGCAUCAAUAUGGAAAACUGUUUUUUCAAUAGAGACAGGAAUGUGUGUUUUUUCUGUAAAAUUGAUACAAAAGUUUCUGUUUGGACAUUGUGUUUGCCCAUGUGAAAAAUAAAAUAAUAAAACGUAA